UUGCACUGCCGCAGCCAUGGUCCCGUACGCGAGCACCAUAGGCGCAAAAAACAUAACUCUACUGGUUGUGCGGGAUUACGGGCGAGACUCUCUGCUCGUUCCUCCAUCCCCGGGUGUUAUACCAGGCAUGCGGUGCGCAAGCAUCGUGCCAUAACAUACCGCCAGUGUGCAGGAUGUGACCCGAAAGAUGGUGAACUAUGCCUGAUCAGGUUGAAGUCAGGGGAAACCCUGAUGGAGGACCGAAGCAAUUCUGACGUGCAAAUCGAUUGUCAGAAUUGGGCAUAGGGGCGAAAGACCAAUCGAACCAUCUAGUAGCUGGUUUCCUUCCGAA
rnacentral:rRNA from 1 species